AGGAAAAGAGACACUCUUUCGGAGGCUUUCCAACCAGUAGCAAGACCUAACUGCUAUGUAAAUUGUAAGAUUGUAAUUAGCGUUCAUCUUUGGUGCAGUUGUUUCAGAAAACCGCUUCAAAGUGUUGUAAAUAUUGAAAAUAAUCAAGCGUUUCAGUUUUAUUUCUUCGGGAACGGAGCAAAAGUGAAGAACCAUUGAUAUAGACUCGUUCCCAAAGUUGUACAGUUAGUAAUAGACAAUUGCAAUUCGACCAUUUCGCGCGUUUCGGAAACCCAUCUGCGGUUGUUAACGUCCGUGUAGGAAGAAGUCGUCGUCGGUCGGUAGAAUCGGGACAUUUUGUGCGCGAUCUCGUCGUGUUCCUCGUGUAGUGAGUAGUGUGUACAUAAAUAUAUCGCUGCAGUCGCAACUAUCUGCACGCGUUCUUCGCAUAACCGGAGUGUAUAAGAGCUUGCUCACUACUUCAGAAGUAUAGCUCAGGUUGGUAGCGAUUCUUGCGAGCAACACCAACAACACCGGAAAGAAGAAACCCACAAGAGAACCCAGGCAAACGAAGCUGAAGAAAAAGAAGGUUUUUGCACCUGGUUUCCUGGAAUUCGUGUGUUGACCUCUCCGCUCAGGGGGAAUCAAUCGAUGAGCUCCCCAGCAGCAGCUCUGCCAAUCUUCUAAACGCUGCUGUUGUUGUUUGGGGAUUGCGUCUCUACGCGUGGUGUUGUUUCAUGUUUGGCACCCAGUCCUCCGGGUAGAUGGUUCUGUGGUGGGUUUUGCGAAGCAAAAGUGUGUGGUGAUCUCUUGACGCAAACCGGAUCUUCAAAUUGAAGCGAAGCGAAGAAUAAAACAAGAGCGACAUAGAAUUUGACAAGCUUCGUUGGGGUUCAAGAAGAAGAAGCAACCCUUAAGAAUAGCAUACACUUGGUCGGUUUGAUUGCUGGUCCAGGUUUUUGCAAGGUGCAAGACGACUGAGGAAGUAGCAGGAGCAAGUUGUGUUACAUACCGUACUCCUCCUCCCCAGUAAAAAAAAAGAGAAAGGAUGUUUGUGGGGCUCGAGAGCCAAUAAUCGUUGGAAGAGGCGCAGUGAGUUGUAUAUGCGUCCGCCUCAAAGUGUUUGUGUGAGAUAGUGUCCGACCACAGUUUUUUUUUCUGAUUGGCUAAUCGAAGCUACCGGAAGAAUCCCGGGCGACUCAUUCACCGGGUUCGGCUUUGGUACCAGAAAAUUUAAACCUGACCCCAAACCGUUCAACUUCCGGUUCCAAGUUGUAAGGGGAUUUCACGGAGAAAAGUGUUUCACGCUACCAGUAAUCCACCAAGGGAAAGCCCUCACUAGAGUGAAUAAAAUACGAAAUCCACCGCGAGUGUCAAGACGGGUGGGAAUUAUAAAGAAAUAUUAUUCAAUAAAAAGAAGAAAAAAUCAAGCUGAGUGCUUCAGAGUGGGCGACAGCAGCACACGCGAGUUUGAGGGAAAAGUUUGUAUAGUGUGUCGAUUUGUUUUCAAACAAAUUGUGUAUUCGUAAUAAUACAGUCGUCGUCGUCGCGCCCGUCAAACAAACAGACAGGCGGCGGUACAUAGAAACAAAAAGUUGCGUCUCGUCUUCGUCGGUUUGGCCUGCUUUGUUAUCUCGCCUGCUUGACGGCCCAAUCCCCCCAGGACGCGGACUACUAGCGAUUGGGGAAUUCCUCAACUACUGUUGCUUCCGUCGACGCGACCCCUUCAGCUCUAAGAUUCGCUAUAAAUUGCAUCGGAAUUGGUGAAUUAAGUUGUACAGUGUGUAAAAUAAUUAGCCUCAACAAGAAGCAGCAACUGCAUCAGUAGCAUCAAAGCGGAUACGUUCGCUUUUCAUUUUCUCCUCUCCAAGUACUGCCAUUGGGCGGAAAGGUCCCAAAAUUCACCUG